AGAGUUUGAUCCUGGCUCAGAUUGAACGCUGGCGGCAGGCCUAACACAUGCAAGUCGAGCGGCAGCGGAAGGAAGCUUGCUUCCUUGCCGGCGAGCGGCGGACGGGUGAGUAAGGUAUGGGGAUCUGGCCGAAGGCGGGAGAUAACCACUGGAAACGGUGGCUAAUACCGCAUAAUCUCUAAGGAGCAAAGUGGGGGACCAUUAUGGCCUCACACCUUCGGAUGAACCCAUAUGAGAUUAGCUAGUAGGUGGGGUAAAGGCUCACCUAGGCGACGAUCUCUAGCUGGUCUGAGAGGAUGAUCAGCCACACUGGGACUGAGACACGGCCCAGACUCCUACGGGAGGCAGCAGUGGGGAAUAUUGCACAAUGGGCGCAAGCCUGAUGCAGCCAUGCCGCGUGUAUGAAGAAGGCCUUCGGGUUGUAAAGUACUUUCAGUCGUGAGGAAGGUGUUAAGGUUAAUAGCCUUAGCAAUUGACGUUAGCGACAGAAGAAGCACCGGCUAACUCCGUGCCAGCAGCCGCGGUAAUACGGAGGGUGCGAGCGUUAAUCGAGAUUACUGGGCGUAAAGGGCACGCAGGCGGUUAAUUAAGUUGGAUGUGAAAUCCCCGGGCUUAACCUGGGAAUGGCAUUCAAGACUGGUUAGCUAGAGUCUUGUAGAGGGGGGUAGAAUUCCAUGUGUAGCGGUGAAAUGCGUAGAGAUGUGGAGGAAUACCGGUGGCGAAGGCGGCUCCCUGGACAAAGACUGACGCUCAUGUGCGAAAGCGUGGGGAGCAAACAGGAUUAGAUACCCUGGUAGUCCACGCUGUAAACGAUGUCGAUUUGGAGGUUGUGGUCUAGAACUGUGGCCUCCGGAGCUAACGCGUUAAAUCGACCGCCUGGGGAGUACGGCCGCAAGGUUAAAACUCAAAUGAAUUGACGGGGGCCCGCACAAGCGGUGGAGCAUGUGGUUUAAUUCGAUGCAACGCGAAGAACCUUACCUACUCUUGACAUCCAGCGAAGCCUUUAGAGAUAGAGGUGUGCCUUCGGGAGCGCUGAGACAGGUGCUGCAUGGCCGUCGUCAGCUCGUGUUGUGAAAUGUUGGGUUAAGUCCCGCAACGAGCGCAACCCUUAUCCUUUGUUGCCAGCGAUUCGGUCGGGAACUCAAAGGAGACUGCCGGUGAUAAACCGGAGGAAGGUGGGGAUGACGUCAAGUCAUCAUGGCCCUUACGAGUAGGGCUACACACGUGCUACAAUGGCGUAUACAGAGAGAGGCGAGCCUGCGAGGGGAAGCGGAACUCAGAAAGUACGUCAAAGUCCGGAUUGGAGUCUGCAACUCGACUCCAUGAAGUCGGAAUCGCUAGUAAUCGUAGAUCAGAAUGCUACGGUGAAUACGUUCCCGGGCCUUGUACACACCGCCCGUCACACCAUGGGAGUGGGUUGCAAAAGAAGUAGGUAGCUUAACCUUCGGGAGGGCGCUUACCACUUUGUGAUUCAUGACUGGGGUGAAGUCGUAACAAGGUAACCGUAGGGGAACCUGCGGCUGGAUCACCU
rnacentral:rRNA from 1 species